CUCGUAGGCGGGACUGUUAGUCGCGGAGUAAAUCCAUCUGCUCAACGGGUGGCUCAUCUGCGAUACGGCAGUUCUUGAGGACAGGAGAGGAAAGCGGAAUUCCGAGUGUAGCGGUGAAAUGCGUAGAGAUUCGGAGGAACACCAGUGGCGAAGGCGGCUUUCUGGCCUGAUUCUGACGCUGAGGAGCGAAAGCCAGGGGAGCGAACGGGAUUAGAUACCCCGGUAGUCCUGGUGCUGUAAACGAUGGAUACUAGGUGUAGGAGGUAUUGACCCCUUCUGUGCCGCAGCUAACGCAAUAAGUAUCCCGCCUGGGGAGUACGGCCGCAAGGUUGAA
rnacentral:rRNA from 1 species